UUCCAAAAUAAGACCUUUUUUUUCAGUUUACCAAACACCUAAAAACCUCACAGCUUUUUUUCAUGGGUACUUUUCUUUUAAGCACCUCACUCCCAAACCACCCCUAAGAAAUGAGUUUUCGCUCUCUUUUGCUUGGAAUGAUUUAACCCCGUGAACUUGAAUUGGAUCACUCUUUGGUCAAAUGCUUAUUAAGUCUUUGUUCCGCAUGUGGACCGUCAUAGAAGAGUUCCUACCGUCAAAUUAUAACUAAGACUGCAACAGCUAUUGCUCCACCAUCAUUUCUAAAAAAAUAGGACCUGGUCUGCCAACAGUUUUAACUGCGUAAGUCAUUUUAUUUAACUUUCGGUAAGUCCUUUUAUUGUUCUGAUCUUUAGCAAGAGGAUCCUUUAACAAAUCCAACUAUUUUAACAAAUCCAACUGUCAUUUGUUCAUAUUAACUUCUAUUUUUCCAAUUUCUAACAGAUAAAUGAAAACACGUACUACCAGAAGAAAGGAGGAACAAAGUGAAGAAACAAACCCAUUAGAUUAAAUAAGUUCAACACUAUUCAUUGUUUCUUAUUCUAGAUAGGGUUGUAAAUAGAUUUAUAUAAGCACUAUGACUUAUAAUUUAUAUUUACAACUUUCUACAUGUUUUAUACAAUUUCAAAACCCGCAGCACCGC